rnacentral:lncRNA from 1 species
GUGCAAAAUGACAGCCGAAUCUCAAGUCAUCGAUCGACCUUCCUCAAGACCGCGAUUCUAACCUAACUUUGUUUGUUAUUGUUUGAAUUUUGAAUAUUUUUAAUUCAGUUCCAACAUAUAUUUUUUGUUUUUCUAAUUACAAUAAAAAUGUAUGAAGAAGUAAAAGCAUUUUUAGAGUUUAUUGAUAAUAUUGGAGAAGAAAAUCGCCCGGGAAGUAUACAAAAGCGAUAUAUUCAAGAUAAAAAUAUAAUCUAAAAUACAAUGGAGUAUUACAAUAUUGAAGUUCAUCAGCGAAUCAGCGCAUUAACUUAAACAACAAAGGUUUUAUGCUACUUAUAGGAAUAUAACCAGUUUUUAUGAGGAAGCCCACUUUCCAAAAAUGUGCAGGUACUAGAAGAGAAAUUACUGUUCAACUGAGAAUUAUGUAUAUUACUGUUCAACAACAAGUUUAUCAAGUCAUUCAAUAUUUGAUCUAAGAGCAUUAAGAGUGAAAUUGUGAAAUGGAAAGAAGUGAAAUUCCAGGAUUAUUAAUAGGAAUAGAUGACAGUAGUGGGUAUGCAUGCAGACACUAUCUACUUACCCCAGUAUUACAGCCAGGUAAUGAUCAAGAAAAUAAGAUAUUUUUACCAUAGUACUCAUGUGAGAACAAGAAAUGUAGAAAAGCUAUUUGGAACCUGGAAAAGAGAGUUUCCUUUCUUCAACAAGGUCUACAAAUCAAAUUAUAUACAUGUCUUGCAAUAAUAUGUGCUACAGCAGUACCUUACAAUCUAGGUAAAUAAUGAUCUGGUG